UCCCAGAAUGGUGAGCGGGCGUCGAGGA
rnacentral:piRNA from 1 species